rnacentral:rRNA from 1 species
GACGAACGCUGGCGGCGUGCCUAAUACAUGCAAGUUGAGCGAUGAAGAUUGGUGCUUGCACCAAUUUGAAGAGCAGCGAACGGGUGAGUAACGCGUGGGGAAUCUGCCUUUGAGCGGGGGACAACAUUUGGAAACGAAUGCUAAUACCGCAUAACAACUUUAAACAUAAGUUUUAAGUUUGAAAGAUGCAAUUGCAUCACUCAAAGAUGAUCCCGCGUUGUAUUAGCUAGUUGGUGAGGUAAAGGCUCACCAAGGCGAUGAUACAUAGCCGACCUGAGAGGGUGAUCGGCCACAUUGGGACUGAGACACGGCCCCAACUCCUACGGGAGGCAGCAGUAGGGAAUCUUCGGCAAUGGACGAAAGUCUGACCGAGCAACGCCGCGGGAGUGAAGAAGGUUUUCGGAUCGUAAAACUCUGUUGGUAGAGAAGAACGUUGGUGAGAGUGGAAAGCUCAUCAAGUGACGGUAACUACCCAGAAAGGGACGGCUAACUACGUG